rnacentral:lncRNA from 1 species
GAGAGCUGAAAGACUGGGGUGUGUGUGUGUGUGUGUGUGUGUGUGUGCGCGCACGUAGCUUCUCAUUUCGUCUGGAGGUCUCUCUCAGCAGAGUGGCUACAAACUUUAGCCCUGCCCUGAUGAGAUUCCUGGGCAUUUGGUCACGGAUGUUGACAGUGUGCCUUUUACUAACGACUUCAUUCUGGCAGACAGCCUACUGCCUAAAUGUCCAACCUGUGACCAGGCCUCCCUUCCACAAGAAGCUUGUUGAUACUGGCAGACACCCUGUGGCUCUUGCCUGACCUGUGUGCAGUUUAUUCCUACCAGGAUGGCCGAUCUCUAGGAGAGUCUUGACGGAGAAAGAAGCUGGGUUCAGGUAAACAAAAGAACGUGACACCCUGAAUUGGAUGAAGAAAUAUCUUGUCUGGAAGAGAAACUGAAAACAGGAAUACUCAGAAAGACUGAAAAUAAGAGGAUGGAGAAAAUAUGUCAAGCAUUUUCUAAAAUUCAACGAGUGCUGACAGACAGGUGUCAACACCGCAACAGAGCUGGGUCAAGGUCGGACGUAUAAUAGAACAGCAGCAGCAGCAGAGGUAGGAGGAAGGAUGUAGCAGCAGCCGAAGGAGACACCGUGAGGCCAGGUCAGGGGCCCAGGAGCCUCCGCGUGGACAGCUUCAGCUCCAUCCAAGCUGCCGGAUUGGAGGGCGCCUGCCCCCAGCAGCAGGUGGCCUUAAAGAUUCAGCUCUGAGAAACAAAUGUGGAGGGGGUUUGUGGAGGGAUUAUUGUGGGGUGCGUGGGGCCCUCUGAGGUGAUCUGCUGCAGAAUAACUAAUACCUAUUGUAACAGAGGAGUAUAGAUUUAUAAAAUACAUGACAAAUGCUUAAUAAAAAAGAAAAAAGUGAAAUGAAAAAUGAAGAUCAGAGUGGUAGACAAAGGAAGAAAGGGGGAAGAGGAAGGGAGGAGGGAGGAGGAAAAUGAAGACAAGAAUAGGUUAUAAAUAAAGAUAAAAUGUGUCAAAUGAAUUUAAAAAGAAUGUAUUAUAAUCUGUACUUAAUUUCUUGCUCAAUCAUCGGAAAGUGCCCAUUUCAUGCCCUGUACAGUUACCAUAAUUCCUUUUUUCUCCACAUUCAUUUUUGUUCUAUUAUAUUUGUAGAAAUGUAAUCUUUCAUGUUUAAAGUUCAAUAAUGAAAGUACCGUCUUGUAAAAAAAAACAAAAAUAAAAAUCAAUAAAAAAUAAAAAUAAAAUAAGUAAAACGCA